rnacentral:rRNA from 1 species
UACGGGGGGGCAAGCGUUGUUCGGAAUUACUGGGCGUAAAGGGCUCGUAGGCGGCCAACUAAGUCCGACGUGAAAUCCCCAGGCUUAACCUGGGAACUGCGUCGGAUACUGGAUGGCUUGAAUUCGGGAGAGGGAUGCAGAAUUCCAGGUGUAGCGGUGAAAUGCGUAGAUAUCUGGAGGAAUACCGGUGGCGAAGGCGGCAUCCUGGACCGACAUUGACGCUGAUGAGCGAAAGCUAGGGGAGCAAACGGGG